ACUUUGUAUGAUGAUACUAUUUUUUUUUACAGUUAUCCCUGUCUAAAGCAUAGUGUUGAGAAUGGUAAAUCUGAAUAAUCU
rfam:Schizosaccharomyces pombe chromosome I, complete replicon